GUAGGUGAACCUGCGGAGGGAUCGUUACAAGUGACCCCGGCUACGGCCGGGAUGUUCAUAACCCUUUGUUGUCCGACUCUGUUGCCUCCUGGGCGACCCUGCCUUCGGGCGGGGGCUCCGGGUGGACACUUCAAACUCUUGCGUAACUUUGCAGUCUGAGUAAACUUAAUUAAUAAAUUAAAACUUUUAACAACGGAUCUCUUGGUUCUG
rnacentral:misc_RNA from 1 species